GCGUUGGUGGUUCAGUGGUAGAAUACUCGCCUGCCACGCGGGUGGCCCGGGUUCGAUUCCCGGCCGAGGCA
rnacentral:tRNA from 1 species